rnacentral:lncRNA from 10 species
GCAGCCCUGGCCUGUGUUUUUCUUUCCCACAAAGACCAACACCGGUGCUGCUGACAUCAUGACAGCUUUCCACAGGAACUUCUAACCUGUUCCAGUGUGACCCUAAGGAUGCCGGUAGCCAUCUUGCCACUCUCGGGAGAGGAAGAGCCACAGAGACAAGGCAACUCUGAGAGCUGAGUCCUGAUGACCGGUCGAAGCACCCGAAUUCAGCACUAGGUGAUCUGUCUCCACUGUGCUUUUAGCAACACGGCCUUGAAAAAGAGACUCUGAGAGACUCACUCCAGUCAUGCAGAAUUUUGGGACAAUAGUGAGGUUUUCUCCCCAGGGAUCCCUUCCAUGUUUGAAUUUCCCCACUCCAAGAGUUGUUCAGCAGAGGCCAUGGGGACUGGCAUCUGGAUCCCGACCCACACUUACUCCAAGUUUUCCACUUUCGGAAGUCUCCCAAUCUUCAGGCUGAAGUUGACUUCAGUGGGGCAGGCAACUGCAUGCCCUACCUAGGUGCCAGUGAGAAUUGGAUUCAGCUUUUAAAGACCCUACUUUCUGCCUCCAAAUGGUCUAAACAAAGAUAGAAGUGUAUUUCCUUCUCAGGUGAAUGAAGUCUGGACUUAGUCUUCCUGAGGUUGUCAUGAACCAGGAUCUCUUUAUCCUGCUUUCUCCCCAUCCUCGGCGUUUGGCAUAAACCUUCCAUGACUCCUUUCCCUCCCCUCUUCUCUCCCCACACUGCACAUGCCAUGUCACUUACUUCAUUGGCUGGAACACGGAGACUCCACCAGCGAGGGAGGCUGGAAAAGGCAUUCUUCAUUCUGAGUGCCAGUUUCAUGUCGGGGGCCCAUCACUAAGGAAGAAGAACAGAAUGGAUAUUUGGGGGAUACUAGGAGUUCUCUGACCUCUCAUGCCACUCCGUGAUGUGCCGCAGCAAAAAUCCUCACUGGAAUAGCUCCAGUGCUGGUGAUGCCAAUGAAGGCCACUGUGGAAAAGAAAAGAAUAAUUAAUUCCAGACACAUCAGUAAAGACACCCUCCUGUUAUAAAUGCUGAGAGAAUGGCUUGGGACCACCUGGGGUCGUUCUCCAUCCUGACCAUUUAGAGAUCACUACCCUCAGGGAGUAAGGUCUCAAAUCCCAUCUCAAUGCCUCAUAGACAGCUGGACUUACAAGGAUUUAGGCCCACAGAAACAUUUUAGGAAACUUCCAGGGAGUCAGAGAUCAGGCAAGGGAGCUGCGUCCCUGCGUGACCCCAUCUCAGCUGAGAUGAGACAAUAGCGGCUUUCUUCGUGAAAAACUAAAGUGGGAAAUGUUUCUUGAUAUGUUUCACUACCAGUCUAUAUAGAGGGUCCGUUUAUGAAUAAGAGAAUUGUGGAAUUCCACACAAGGUUGUUGGGUCUCAGAGCUCCUUCUGCAGCUCAGGAGCACUGUAACUGGAUUCUCCAAAGCAAAAACACUGCUUUUGCAGGUCAUUAACAACCAUGUGACAAAACUAUCUUCAGGGAAGGAACCCAACCUCAACACCUCAACAUUCACUAGUUAACACUUGCAGAGUGCUUAAAGUGCUGGUUGGAGCAUGGUAGGGGCUCAGCAAAUAUUAGUGAAACAAGUGCCUGGACAUUCUGGGUAAGAGAAGCCAUUAUUAUUAGAUAUUUAUGAUGCAUUUACUAUGUAUAAGGGAUAUAAGCACUCUGAAGGAUCACAGAGAUAAGACAUUGUCCUUGCCCUCAAGGAGUUUACAAUCUAAUAAAGAAAAUAAGAGGCUGGGCACAGUGGCUCACGCCUGUAAUCCCAGCACUUUGGGAGGCUGAGAUGGGCGGAUCACAAGGUCAGGAGAUUGAGACCAUCCUGGCUAACAUGGUGAAACCCUGUCUCUAAUAAAAAUACAAACAAUUAGCUGGGUGUGUGGCAGGCGCCUAUAGUCCCAGCUGCUCAGGAGGCUAAGGCAGGAGAAUGGCGUGAACCCGGGAGGCGGAGCUUGCAGUGAGCCGAGAUCAUGCCACUGCACUCCAGCCUGGGCGACAGAGCGAGACUCCGUCUAAAAAAAAAAAAAAAAAACCAAAGCAAAAAAUAAUCAAGGUAAGAAUCUGGGUUCCUGCCUCCCACAAUUUAUAAUUGUAAAUGUGUUUUGUUUUUUUUUUUUUAGCAAGUUUAUUAAGAAAGUAAAGGCAUAAAGAAUGGCUACUCCAUAGGCAGAGUGCCUAUAAUUGUGUCUUUGAAGAGGCUGGUUUUAAUUUUUAUUUUCUUUUAUUUGUUUAGUUUUAGAGAUGGGUGUCUUGCUAUGUUGCUCAGGCUGGUCUCAAACUCCUAGCCUCAACCAGUCCUCCUGCCCUCCCUUCUAAAGUGCUGGGAUUACAGGCAUGAGCCACUGUACUCAGCUAAGGCUGGUUUUAAAAUCCUCUCAUUUCUCCUAGAAGAUGGUGAGGAUGUGAUGUGGGUCACGUGGGCCAGGCUCGGGGGGUCAUGGGCAGCACACUGUCCUUGGAAACAGCAGCAGUGGUGCCUCCUGUUUGUUCCUGUCACCUCUUGCUUCCUAGCUGAGCCUCUGCCUCAGUGUCCCCUCUCCAAGAUGAGGCAACUGCAUGUGUGUCCUGCAGCUCCCUCCCUCCCUUGCACUCCUAGCUGCUAGAAGCAGUCAUAUCUGUGAAUCACAUAGAGCUCCCUGACAUCUGGUCUUACAUCAAAUCUUUCUUGGCAAUAUAAGAGUGAAACAUCCAGUUUUUCAAACUGGCUGUUUUGUUUUGAAUUCAUCUUCAGAUGAGCUUUUCUCAGGAGAAAUGAGGAGUGGGGGACAGAGAGCAGAAUAAAAUGCCCACAGGAGAGUAAAACAAGAUGCCAAAAGACCAGGAGGAAGACCACAGAUUUCCAGAGCCUGAUCCUCUGCCACCAGACCCUGAGGGCAGCUCUUUGAUUUCUGGUCACUCGUGUCCUCCAUUCCAUGCCUUCGGCAGCCACCACCACAACCCCGGGGUCGGGCACCUCCACAGUGUACAGCAAGUUUACUACCUAGCAAAGUAUGGCCCAGAUCAACGGGGGCUUCAAAACCAUCCACACUUACGUUUCAUUCAUUCAUUUGCUAAUUUAUUCAUUCUAUAUUCAUUCAACACUCAUUGAGCACCAGUAGGUGUCAUCUAGAAGUCUUGUCUCCAUUUGCUAUCAGCAAGGGUAUCACCUUUUCUAUACAAUGAGUCUCAUUUCCCAAGAGUGGUUUUGGAUUUGAAAGCAGAUGUUACUCAGAACCUUUUCUGAGGGCAGUGUCUCAGCUCCCCAGGGAGGCCUCCAGUUCUCCAAAGGAGCCUUAUACAUCUUUGGCCCAGGUUAGCAUCCAUCUCCCUGCACAUCCUCACAGAUAUUAAAAAGGAUCAAAGCAUCUUUGGACAGUCCCGGGUUGUCUCCAAGGAAAUCGGAGGCACCUGGAUGUAACUAACAAAGACUCUUUGUGUCAGUGGGGCUGAGUCACCUGACAGGUCUGAAAUGUAACUUCCUCCUCUGGGGCCAGGAGAAUGGAAUCCGAAAGGCUAGAAGGAUAGAUCAAAAUGAAGAUAAAAUUUUAAAGGAAUGAAAGUAGAGUUUUGUACUUAGUGAUUAAAAGAAGAAAAGAAAUGACGAAGGAAAAAGGAAUCCCAUUUGACGGUGUUGUAUGUGAAACUGACUUAGAGAUUUUGGUUGACUGCAAACUCAAGGUGGACUAAGGCCUGAUGUGGCAGCUGGAAACCUGAAUGGACUUUGAUUGUGUCACAGAGUCAGGAGUGUCUAGUGAGGAGACAGUAGCCCCCUGGGUUUGUCACAGGUCAGGCCAUUUGUAAAAUAUUAGGCUUAGUUGUGGGUCCAUGUUUUAAGAUACAUUUUAACAAACUGGAAGGACCCCCAGAGAAAGGUGGUAUAAGUGUGGGAACCACACCGCACAAGAAGCCACUCAUGUUCAUCUAUAAAAAUGAUUUACGGACAUGACAACCUUCUUAAAAUAUCUGAUUGUCAAGAUGUAAAAGGGAGCCUGGAGAACUGAAGGCUGAGAAGGACUUCAUUCUCAGAUUGUGGGAGAGACCUUCUGACAUGGAUUUCUACAACCUCUGGCCACUUCAUCUCACAAUUUAAUCUGCAUCUUCCUCUUUCCCUUCAUGUCCUCCUGUCUUAGAGGAAGAAUCAUUCCUCCUCCUUCCAGAGGCUGACCUCCUCCUCUCCCAUCUCCUGCAGAACAUGCCCUGCUAAUUACCAUCCCCUCCAGAAUCCUUUAUUUUUCUUUCUUUCCAUAAGCCCACAAAUACGAGGGAGAUGAUUAGUUAGGUACUUAUUACAUGCCAGGUGCAUAGUAAUUAAUCUGCCUUAUCUUGAUUAAUCCUCAAACCAAUCCAAUGAAGUAGGUGACAUCCUCUCCAUUUACAGAUGAAGAAACAGAGGUUAGCUGGGUGUGGUGGCUCAUGCCUGUAAUCCCAGCACUUUGAGAGGCCAAGGUGGGCAGAUCACUUGAGGCCGGGAGUUUAAGACCAGCCUGGCCAACAUGGUGAAACCCCCUCUCUACAAAAAAUACAAAAAUCAGCCAGGUGUGGUGGUGCACACCUGUGACUCCAGCUACUCAGUAGGCUGAGGCAUGAGAAUUGCUUGAACCUGGGAGGUGGAGGCUGCAGUGAACCGAGACCCACCACUGUAUUCCAGCCUAGGCAACACAGCAAGACUCUGAAAAAAAGAGAAAGAAAGAAAGGAAGGAAGGAAGGGGAAAGGAAAGGAAGACAGAAAGGGAGGAAAGAAGGGAGGAGAAAGAAAGAGAAGAAGGAAAGAAAGAAAGAAGAAAGAGGAAGGAAGGGAAAGAAAAGAAAGGAAGACAGGGAGGAAGGGAGGGAGGAAGGAAGGAGAAAGAAAGAGAAGAAGGAAAGAAGAAAGAAAGAAAAGAAAGAAAAAGAAAGAAAAAGAAAAAGAAAGAAAGGAAGAAAAAAGGAAGAAAGAAAAGAGAAAGAAGCUGCAAGGAGUUCAGUGACAUUUCCAAGCUCACCCAAGUGAGCUUGGCCAAGUUUGAAACUUGAAGAGUGCUUAAAGUUCUGGAUGGACUCAAUUCCAGGUCCAUCUGCCAUUAAAACCCCCAAGCUCACUUGCUUCCAGGCUUUAAACGUGCUCCUCCAUUCCCAGCCAAGUGCCUUUAAAGAAGGCUUUCUCUGUGGAUCUACUUUCUCACCUCUCAUCCACUCAGCCUGCUGCAGCCUGCUUUCUGCCCUCACCCUCUGCAGAAACGGCCUGCAGAAGGUCAUCAGUGACCUAGGUUAAUCCCAUCAGCCUCUCCUCAGUUCUCACCCCACGUGGCCUUUUGUGGCAUUGACAUUGCUGGCCAUACUCAUCUUCCCCUACCCUCCACCCUCUGCCACAUCUGGCUGAGCCCCUUUCUCUCACCACUUCACCUCUCAUCCUAUAAUCCCCACCUCAGGUCCCUCCUUCCAGGUGUCAUUGGCCCUUUUAAAGGACCUGAGGACUCAGCUAAAGUUGGAAAUCAGGAAUGUGUGUGUGGGACUUCCUGGUAGGUGUAGGGGUGCUAUGGGUCUAAAUGUGUCCCCCUGAAAUUCACAUGUUGAAGCUUAAAUGCCAAUGGAAUAGUAUUAAGAGGGGGGCCUUUUGAAGGUGAUUAAGUCAUGAUUCCUUAUGAAUGGGACUAAUGACCUCAUAAAAGAAGUCCUGCGAAGCCUCUUUUGCCCUUCCCUCUCUUCUGCCAUGUGAGGACACAGCAGUCAUCUCUGUCUUCCUCCUCUGCCAUGUGAUGACACAGGAAGAAGUUGCCAUAUGAGGGACAGGCCCUCACAGACACUGAAUCUGCUAGUGCCUUGAUCGUGGACUUCCCAGCCUCUAGAGCUAUGAGAAAAUAAACCUCUGUUCUUUAUAA